CAGGCUGCACAUUUGCUGUCACUUGUUGCCAAGAGUGCCAGUCCUACUGUCCAUCCCAGUACUGCCUUCCCAGUCCCAGCCACUGUGACAGCACCAGUAUGCUCGCUGUGGAGCAGCUGAGUGACGCACUCUGUCAAAAGCGGGAUUUUUUGGCCAAGUGAGUCUGCAGCUUGGUGAGAUUCUUGAUCUAGCCCCUGAGACAGUGGUGUCAGUAUUGAUGCAGGCCCAAGGGAUGAGCAGAAUCCUGUACCAGGAUCCCUUUUGGUAUCUUCUGCAGAUCAGGACACCAGAUGCUGGGGCUUCCAAUGAGUUAUUUCUGUGUUGUAUGGUUGCCUUGUUUUUCUUUUCUGCUCCCAUUUCAGGAAAGAUGCCUGCUCUAAAAAUAUAGAAUAUAGCUCCAGA